ensembl:snRNA U6 U6 spliceosomal RNA
GUGCUCAUUUCUGCAACACAUACACUAAAAUUGAAACGAUAGAGAGGUUAACAUGGCCCCUGCACGUUAAUGACAUGCAAGUUCAUGAGGCCUUUUAUAUUUUC